rnacentral:rRNA from 1 species
GUAUGGUGCGAACGUUGUUCGGAAUCAUUGGGCAUAAAGAGCACGUAGGCGGUCUAGUAAGUCUGUCUGUGAAAUCCCUCGGCUUAACCGAGGAACUGCAGCGGAUACUGCCGGACUUGAGUGCAGGAGGGGAGAGUGGAAUUCCUGGUGGAGCGGUGAAAUGCGUAGAUAUCAGGAGGAACGCCGGUGGCGAAAGCGACUCUCUGGCCUGCUACUGACGCUGAGGUGCGAAAGCCAGGGGAGCAAACGGGAUUAGAUACCCCGGUAGUCCUGGCCCUAAACGAUGGGCACUAAGUGGAGGGGGUUCCGAUGCCUUCUCCGCUGCAGCAAAUGUGUUAAGUGCCCCCGCCUGGGAGUAUGGUCGCAAGGCUA